AACAUGAAUUUUUCUAAACGCCCCCCACAAAACAUACCAGACGUACUGAAACCGCACCAUCAGGCCCACUAACCAGUGUUUUGCAUUAGCCAAAUCAUUCUCUGUGGUGUGCACUUAGUAAAUAAGUUUGACGGACUGAUACUCUGCCGCAGAGGAAUAUGCCAGCGGACGAAAAGUUCCGCAACCCUCGAUCCAAAAUUCACGGGAGCCCUCUUCCCACUUCCCUCACGAUUGCAUCUCAUAUACUCCGUAACAGAAAAAAGGGAUUUUUGCUCACGGUCUCCCCGGCAAGAUCCAUCGGCGCCGGUCGCCAUGCGCUCCUCCCGCACCCUACUCCCCGCCUAGGGCACAAGUGCGACGUCGCCGCGCCGGCAGGGCAGCAGCUUGAUGCCACCGCGCCUGCAGGAUAGCAGCUUGACGCCUCCGCGCCGCCGCGUCGCCUUGGCCACGGCGAACGGCCCAAUCCUGCCGGACACGAUGUCCUGAACGCGCUCGUCGGCCCACUCCGCGUGGCCACCACAUCCUGCACCGACCGACGAUGCCGCGUCUUCUUCCACGAAUUAGGUAUUUAUGUUUUAUGCCGAAUUUGAAUAUAUCCUGAUGCUCUGAUGAACGACCUCUUCGUUGAGGAUGACAAUGGUUCAGAGACAACAUCUCCCCUGCCCGUGUCUGAUGCAUGUGCAGAAUAAAGUUAGACCAUUGCAACGCACGCUGUACUGACAUGUUUAGUGGAAACUAUUCAUCCAUUGGGGUUGGUGCUGCUUUGGGUCGGCAGGAAAAUGUGAAGAAGAAGCACUGACAACUUCAUUUGGUUUGGCGUGGAGGGAGAGUACAGUGCGAUGGUGAUUGAUCUUCUUGGAAAAUCCUAGAAGAUUUGUUCAACUACUGCAGUAGAAGGUUUUCUUUGAAGACUGUGCUCCACUGAUCAGAUGGAGAGAACACAGUUGCUUCUUGCUGAAUCUCUGUCCAAAUCAGUAUAUUGUCGUUUCUUACUUUAGAUGGAUUUCUUGUGUGAAUAUAUCCGUUCUUGCAAAUGUUUCAGACUAAUGAAGCCGACGACAUGCAUUCAAAGGGAAUUUCUUCAUCGUGAUAUAAAAUAAAGCCUAAUGAGGCCAAUCAGGUUUGCAUUUAUAUCUAGGUAUUUGCUAAUAAAUUCUACAAUCUUGACUCCAUCUUGUUUGAAGGCAAAUGUUGUUGAUGUGUUCCGUUACUAAAACACAGUGCCUAAAGAGUUGUGGUUUUCGUUCCUGAAAGAAGGUCCAAGAACGAACUACUAAUAAAGGAGCGAACAUGAAUUUUUCUAAACGCCCCCCACAAAACAUACCAGACGUACUGAAACCGCACCAUCAGGCCCACUAACCAGUGUUUUGCAUUAGCCAAAUCAUUCUCUGUGGUGUGCACUUAGUAAAUAAGUUUGACGGACUGAUACUCUGCCGCAGAGGAAUAUGCCAGCGGACGAAAAGUUCCGCAACCCUCGAUCCAAAAUUCACGGGAGCCCUCUUCCCACUUCCCUCACGAUUGCAUCUCAUAUACUCCGUAACAGAAAAAAGGGAUUUUUGCUCACGGUCUCCCCGGCAAGAUCCAUCGGCGCCGGUCGCCAUGCGCUCCUCCCGCACCCUACUCCCCGCCUAGGGCACAAGUGCGACGUCGCCGCGCCGGCAGGGCAGCAGCUUGAUGCCACCGCGCCUGCAGGAUAGCAGCUUGACGCCUCCGCGCCGCCGCGUCGCCUUGGCCACGGCGAACGGCCCAAUCCUGCCGGACACGAUGUCCUGAACGCGCUCGUCGGCCCACUCCGCGUGGCCACCACAUCCUGCACCGACCGACGAUGCCGCGUCUUCUUCCACGAAUUAGGUAUUUAUGUUUUAUGCCGAAUUUGAAUAUAUCCUGAUGCUCUGAUGAACGACCUCUUCGUUGAGGAUGACAAUGGUUCAGAGACAACAUCUCCCCUGCCCGUGUCUGAUGCAUGUGCAGAAUAAAGUUAGACCAUUGCAACGCACGCUGUACUGACAUGUUUAGUGGAAACUAUUCAUCCAUUGGGGUUGGUGCUGCUUUGGGUCGGCAGGAAAAUGUGAAGAAGAAGCACUGACAACUUCAUUUGGUUUGGCGUGGAGGGAGAGUACAGUGCGAUGGUGAUUGAUCUUCUUGGAAAAUCCUAGAAGAUUUGUUCAACUACUGCAGUAGAAGGUUUUCUUUGAAGACUGUGCUCCACUGAUCAGAUGGAGAGAACACAGUUGCUUCUUGCUGAAUCUCUGUCCAAAUCAGUAUAUUGUCGUUUCUUACUUUAGAUGGAUUUCUUGUGUGAAUAUAUCCGUUCUUGCAAAUGUUUCAGACUAAUGAAGCCGACGACAUGCAUUCAAAGGGAAUUUCUUCAUCGUGAUAUAAAAUAAAGCCUAAUGAGGCCAAUCAGGUUUGCAUUUAUAUCUAGGUAUUUGCUAAUAAAUUCUACAAUCUUGACUCCAUCUUGUUUGAAGGCAAAUGUUGUUGAUGUGUUCCGUUACUAAAACACAGUGCCUAAAGAGUUGUGGUUUUCGUUCCUGAAAGAAGGUCCAAGAACGAGGCUGCAGUACAGAAACAUAAAUUGACUGCUAAAUUACUGGAUACUUGGUGGAUGUUCGUAGCAACAUGUGUUUUGGAGGGCUUCAUCAGGCUUGUCCAAAUGACCUUCUCUAUACAAAGGAUUUUUUUUGUUCUAAAAUUGCGUUGUAAUGUCAUAUUUAGUCUUUUUCUUAUAUACUGUGUUAGACUAAAAUCUUUUGGCGAUGUUGCUUUCGAACAAAAACAAUUUUGCAUGAUUGAUUGUUUUUGAGGUGUCACAAGGAUGUCACGAAAACACGAGAAAUGUUUGUGGUUUGUCAAA